UACGGAGGAUUCGAGCGUUAUCCGGAAUCAUUGGGUUUAAAGGGUCCGUAGGCUGUUAAAUAAGUCAGGGGUGAAAGUUUACAGCUCAACUGUGAAAUUGCCUUUGAUACUGUUUAACUUGAAUACUUAUGAAGUGGUUAGAAUGUGUAGUGUAGCGGUGAAAUGCAUAGAUAUUACACAGAAUACCGAUUGCGAAGGCAGAUCACUAAUAAGUCAUUGACGCUGAUGGACGAAAGCGUGGGUAGCGAACAGG
rnacentral:rRNA from 1 species